rnacentral:rRNA from 1 species
CGAAUGACCUUCUCACCCUUGUGUACUCACUAUGUUGCUUUGUGCGGGUCGACCUGGUUCCGACCCAGGCGGCCGGCGCCCCCAGCCUUAACUGGCCAGGACGCCCGGCUAAGUGCCCGCCAGUAUACAAAACUCAAGAAUCAUUUUGUGAAGUCCUGAUAUAUCAUUUAAUUGAUUAAAACUUUCAACAACGGAUCUCUUGGUUCUGGCAUCGAUGAAGAACGCAGCGAAAUGCGAUAAGUAAUGUGAAUUGCAGAAUUCAGUGAAUCAUCGAAUCUUUGAACGCACAUUGCGCCCUCUGGUAUUCCGGAGGGCAUGCCUGUUCGAGCGUCAUUUCAACCCUCAAGCUCUGCUUGGUAUUGGGCAACGUCCGCUGCCGGACGUGCCUUGAAGACCUCGGCGACGGCGUCCUAGCCUCGAGCGUAGUAGUAAAAUAUCUCGCUUUGGAGUGCUGGGCGACGGCCGCCGGACAAUCGACCUUCGGUCUAUUUUUCCAAGGUUGACCUCGGAUCAGGUAGGG